rnacentral:tRNA from 1 species
GCCGGCGUAACUCAGUUGGUAGAGUAUCUCACUCGUAAUGAGAAAGUCUGCGGUUCGACUCCGCACGCCGGCUCCA